ACCACUUUGUGAUUCAUGACUGGGGUGAAGUCGUAACCAGGUAACCGUAGGGGAACCUGCGGUUGGAUCACCUCCUUACCUUAAAGAAGC
rnacentral:rRNA from 1 species